UACAGAAGGUGCGAGCGUUAAUCGGAAUUACUGGGCGUAAAGCGCGCGUAGACGGCUUUGCAAGUCGGAUGUGAAAUCCCCAGGCUUAACCUGGGAACUGCAUUCGAGACUGCAUUGCUAGAGUAUGGGAGAGGGAAGUGGAAUUUCCGGUGUAGCAGUGAAAUGCGUAGAUAUCGGAAGGAACAUCAGUGGCGAAAGCGACUUCCUGGACCAAUACUGACGCUCAUGUGCGAAAGCGUGGGGAGCAAACAGG
rnacentral:rRNA from 1 species